rnacentral:rRNA from 1 species
UACGUAGGUGGCAAGCGUUGUCCGGAAUUAUUGGGCGUAAAGCGCGCGCAGGUGGUUUCUUAAGUCUGAUGUGAAAGCCCACGGCUCAACCGUGGAGGGUCAUUGGAAACUGGGGAACUUGAGUGCAGAAGAGGAAAGUGGAAUUCCAAGUGUAGCGGCGAAAUGCGUAGAGAUUUGGAGGAACACCAGUGGCGAAGGCGACUUUCUGGGCUGUAACUGACACUGAGGCGCGAAAGCGUGGGGAGCAAACAGG